rnacentral:rRNA from 1 species
CCUACGGGUGGCAGCAGUGAGGAAUCUUGGUCAAUGGCCGUAAGGCUGAACCAGCCAAGCCGCGUGAAGGAAGAAGGAGCUAUGGUUUGUAAACUUCUUUUAUAGGGGAAUAAAUUUAUCCACGAGUGCAUAUCUGCAUGUACUCUAUGAAUAAUCAUCGGCUACCUCCGUGCCAGCAGCCGCGGUAAUACGGAGGAUGUGAGCGUUAUCCGGAUUGAUUGGGUUUAAGGGGUGCGUAGGUUGUUUUUUAAGUCAGCGGUGAAAGUUGGGGGCGCAACCAUAAAUUUGCCGUUGAAACUGGCAGACGUGAGUGUGUGUGAGGUAGGCGGAAUGCGCGGUGUAGCGGUGAAAUGCAUAGAUAUCGCGCAGAACUCCGAUUGCGAAGGCAGCUUACUAGGCCAUAACUGACACUGAAGCACGAAAGCGUGGGGAUCAAACAGGAUUAGAUACCCUGGUAGUC